rnacentral:Y_RNA from 1 species
GGCUGGUCCCAGUGCAGUGGUGUUUACAACUAAUUGAUCACAACUAGUUACAGAUUUCUUUGUUCCUUCUCCACUCCCACUGCUUUACUUGACUAGACUNNN